CCUACGUGGAGCUGCAGUGGGGAAUAUUGGACAAUGGGCGAAAGCCUGAUCCAGCCAUGCCGCGUGUGUGAAGAAGGCCUUCGGGUUGUAAAGCACUUUCAGUGGGGAAGAAAGCCUUGGGGCUAAUACCCUCGAGGAAGGACAUCACCCACAGAAGAAGCACCGGCUAACUCCGUGCCAGCAGCCGCGGUAAUACGGAGGGUGCGAGCGUUAAUCGGAAUUACUGGGCGUAAAGCGCGCGUAGGCGGUCUGAUAAGCCGGUUGUGAAAGCCCCGGGCUCAACCUGGGAACGGCAUCCGGAACUGUCAGGCUAGAGUGCAGGAGAGGAAGGUAGAAUUCCCGGUGUAGCGGUGAAAUGCGUAGAGAUCGGGAGGAAUACCAGUGGCGAAGGCGGCCUUCUGGACUGACACUGACGCUGAGGUGCGAAAGCGUGGGUAGCAAACAGGAUUAGAUACCCCGGUAGUC
rnacentral:rRNA from 1 species